rnacentral:rRNA from 1 species
UACGUAGGGUGCGAGCGUUAAUCGGAAUUACUGGGCGUAAAGCGUGCGCAGGCGGUUUUGUAAGCCAGAUGUGAAAUCCCCGGGCUUAACCUGGGAACUGCAUUUGGGACUGCAAGGCUUGAGUGCGGCAGAGGAGACUGGAAUUCCAGGUGUAGCGGUGAAAUGCGUAGAUAUCUGGAGGAACACCGAUGGCGAAGGCGGCAUCCUGGACCGACAUUGACGCUGAGGCGCGAAAGCCAGGGGAGCAAACGGG